CCGUUUUCCUGAAUGUCUUUCUUGGAAUCAUGAUGAUUGGUAUCAUUCUUGAAGUAUUUAUCUGUUCUGGUAUCAUUCUUUUUUUUUAAAGAGAUAAAUGGAAAAAAAAUGCAUCAAUGUCUGAAAGGAUAAAAUAAGCAUCAAAUUAACAAAGUUGCCAAAUGUGAUAGCUAAAAUUUACACUGUAUUAAUUUAACUCUGUGUCAUUGUGAUGAAAUGAAAUACAAGGAUAUUAUAACAAGUGUUCAUGCAAGCACACUAGUUUGUGGAUACUUGAGCAUAUGUCCUGGCUAGUCAAUGGAAUUUCUGCUCAUAUGCUGGAGGUAGCCACGCACCCUUCACUCCAAACGCCAGUCAGGUGAGUGUUCAAUGUGGUUGUGUGGCUAUAUUAUUGACCACUCGAUGUACCCUGAUCAGGAAGAUUAUUUCGGACUCCAAAUGUAGGAUGAUUAAGGACCACAAAGUAGUUUAUAUGCUAUAACUUUCUUCUUGUAAGACCACCUUUCAGACUACAUCAACAAGCUACUAUUUUCCUAAUUCCCUAUUCCUCUAUUUGAGAAAAGUAUGCAUGUAGGGGACGUCGUGUGAGAAACCAAAAGGUGAGAUUAUAAUGUUUUAUUUAGAUUUUUAAUUUGUAUUUUUUUGAAGGUGAGAUCAAAAGCUGGCAAAAAGAAUAGGAAAAAGCUUGAGUACAAUCAUUAUUCAGGAUCUCGGUCAUUUGUUGCAACAAUGACUAUACCGCCGGAGUUUAAUGGUUGUGAAAACCUAGAAUUUCCAGAAUUCUAUAAGCAAACUCAUACCAAGAAGAACAAAGAGUGGAUUGAUCCUAUUUGUGCCGUGAAACAUAGUUCUUAAAGAAAAGAGUGAGAGAUGGAGCGUGAGGAGCUGCGGAGGCAAUUGGAGCAGGAGAGAAGAGAGCGUGAGGAGGAAAGAGAAGAGCGAGAGGAAGAACAGAAGCAAAUUGCACAUCUUACAAGUUUGGUGAUAGAGUUCUAAAAGGAAAAGACUCAAACGCACAAGUCAUCUAUCCAUCAUGAUGGGGCCAUGUAUUCAACUGGUGGUACAAAUACUCGUUGAUACAUGGUGGAGUUAUGAGCAUAUGAAAUCUAGUUUUUGGUACAUGGAUAACUUUUGUUCAGAUGAUCAUGGUGGAGUUGUUUACAAGCAGAAUCAAGUUUUUGGUAUAAGAAUAUUUUUUUCUACAUGAUGGUGGUUUGGAUGAAUAGCAAGAUCAGAUAUUUUGGAAUUUUUAAUUUACAUUUUGAUGUAUUUGGUGAUGAUUAUCACCUUAACAUAUGGUAUGGAUGAAACAUUAUGAUGUAUGGUUAAUAGGUAUGCUUGACUUUAGACUUAUAAAUAAUGAUUUAUAAUGAAUGAUUAUGGAUUCUCCAACAUUGUGUA